UUCAAAUUGAGAGUUUGAUCCUGGCUCAGGAUGAACGCUGGCGGCGUGCCUAAUACAUGCAAGUCGAACGCUUUGUGGUUCAACUGAUUUGAAGAGCUUGCUCAGAUAUGA
rnacentral:rRNA from 1 species